GGCCGGAUGGCGGAGCGGUUACGCGGCGGAGUGCAAAUCCGUCCAGCCUGGUUCGAUUCCAGGUCCGGCCUCCA
rnacentral:tRNA from 1 species